GUAGGGAAUCUUCCGCAAUGGACGAAAGUCUGACGGAGCAACGCCGCGUGAGUGAUGAAGGUUUUCGGAUCGUAAAACUCUGUUAUUAGGGAAGAACAAAUGUGUAAGUAACUGUGCACAUCUUGACGGUACCUAAUCAGAAAGCCACGGCUAACUACGUGCCAGCAGCCGCGGUAAUACGUAGGUGGCAAGCGUUAUCCGGAAUUAUUGGGCGUAAAGCGCGCGUAGGCGGUUUCUUAAGUCUGAUGUGAAAGCCCACGGCUCAACCGUGGAGGGUCAUUGGAAACUGGGAAACUUGAGUACAGAAGAGGAAAGUGGAAUUCCAUGUGUAGCGGUGAAAUGCGCAGAGAUAUGGAGGAACACCAGUGGCGAAGGCGACUUUCUGGUCUGUAACUGACGCUGAUGUGCGAAAGCGUGGGGAUCAA
rnacentral:rRNA from 1 species